AGAGUGUUGGGUUAAGUCCCGCAACGAGCGCAACCCCUACGCUGAGUUACCAGCACGUAAAGGUGGGGACUCUCAGUGGACUGCCGGCGACAAGCCGGAGGAGGGUGGGGACGACGUCAAGUCAUCAUGGCCCUCAUGUCCAGGGCGACACACGUGCUACAAUGGCCGGCACAACGGGAAGCGACGGCGCGAGUCGUAGCGGAUCCCUCAAAGCCGGUCCCAGUUCGGAUUGCAGUCUGCAACUCGACUGCAUGAAGCCGGAAUCGCUAGUAAUCGUGAAUCAGAAUGUCACGGUGAAUACGUUCCCGGGCCUU
rnacentral:rRNA from 1 species